GACGAACGCUGGCGGCGUGCCUAAUACAUGCAAGUAGAACGCUGAAGGAGGAGCUUGCUUCUCUGGAUGAGUUGCGAACGGGUGAGUAACGCGUAGGUAACCUGCCUGGUAGCGGGGGAUAACUAUUGGAAACGAUAGCUAAUACCGCAUAAUAGUAGAUGUUGCAUGACAUUUGCUUAAAAGGUGCAAUUGCAUCACUACCAGAUGGACCUGCGUUGUAUUAGCUAGUUGGUGGGGUAACGGCUCACCAAGGCGACGAUACAUAGCCGACCUGAGAGGGUGAUCGGCCACACUGGGACUGAGACACGGCCCAGACUCCUACGGGAGGCAGCAGUAGGGAAUCUUCGGCAAUGGACGGAAGUCUGACCGAGCAACGCCGCGUGAGUGAAGAAGGUUUUCGGAUCGUAAAGCUCUGUUGUAAGAGAAGAACGAGUGUGAGAGUGGAAAGUUCACACUGUGACGGUAUCUUACCAGAAAGGGACGGCUAACUACAU
rnacentral:rRNA from 1 species